UGAGUAAAUGAAAUCUCUAAAUUUGGCAGCCAUGAGAAAGUUUAAGGAUUGUUGGUUUUUGAUGAAAUUAAGUGGCUUAAUUAUGUUAUUGAUGAGUAUAGAUGAUGGAUAAAGUGAUUUGGUAUGAGUUUGGUGUGUGUAUGCCAUGAAUUGGAAAUUGGAGUUAGGGUUUGAGCAUGAAAUUGAGACUUUGAUCAUGUAAUGAUGAAAGUGAGUUUUA
rnacentral:misc_RNA from 1 species